rnacentral:ncRNA from 1 species
AAAACGGCUCUUUUAAGAGCCGCCAAAUUCAUUAAAAGAGUUAAAA